GACGAACGCUGGCGGCGUGCCUAACACAUGCAAGUCGAACGGGGUUGCCCUUCGGGGCAACUUAGUGGCGAACGGGUGAGUAACGCGUGAGGAACCUGCCUUCCAGUGGGGGACAACAGUUGGAAACGACUGCUAAUACCGCAUAACACAACGAGACCGCAUGAUCUUGUUGUCAAAGCUUUAUGUGCUGGAAGAUGGCCUCGCGUCUGAUUAGCUAGUUGGUGGGGUAACGGCCUACCAAGGCGACGAUCAGUAGCCGGACUGAGAGGUUGAACGGCCACAUUGGGACUGAGAUACGGCCCAG
rnacentral:rRNA from 1 species